AUUGAACGCUGGCGGCAUGCCUUACACAUGCAAGUCGAACGGUAACAGGCCGCAAGGUGCUGACGAGUGGCGAACGGGUGAGUAAUGCAUCGGAACGUGCCCAGUCGCGGGGGAUAACGCAGCGAAAGCUGCGCUAAUACCGCAUACGAUCUAUGGAUGAAAGCGGGGGACCGUAAGGCCUCGCGCGAUUGGAGCGGCCGAUGUCAGAUUAGGUAGUUGGGGGGGUAAAGGCUCACCAAGCCGACGAUCUGUAGCUGGUCUGAGAGGACGGGCAGCCACACUGGGACUGAGACACGGCCCAGACUCCUACGGGAGGCAGCAGUGGGGAAUUUUGGACAAUGGGGGCAACCCUGAUCCAGCAAUGCCGCGUGCAGGAAGAAGGCCUUCGGGUUGUAAACUGCUUUUGUACGGAACGAAACGGCUCUGGUUAAUACCUGGGGCUAAUGACGGUACCGUAAGAAUAAGCACCGGCUAACUACGUGCCAGCCGCCGCCGUAA
rnacentral:rRNA from 1 species